GACGUAGGGCGCGAGCGUUGUCCGGAUUUAUUGGGCGUAAAGAGCUCGUAGGCGGCUUGUUGCGUCAGCUGUGAAAACCCGCAGCUCAACUGUGGGCUUGCAGCUGAUACGGGCAGGCUUGAGUUCGGUAGGGGAGACUGGAGUUCCUGGUGUAGCGGUGAAAUGCGCAGAUAUCAGGAGGAACACCGGUGGCGAAGGCGGGUCUCUGGGCCGAUACUGACGCUGAGGAGCGAAAGCGUGGGGAGCGAACAGG
rnacentral:rRNA from 1 species